GAUGAACGCUGGCGGCGUGCUUAACACAUGCAAGUCGAACGAACCUUCGGGUUAGUGGCGGACGGGUGAGUAACGCGUGGGUAAUCUACCCUCACGACGGGGAUAAACCUCGCGAAAGCGUGGCUAAUACCGGAUGCAAUCCUCGACACCAAGGUAUCGAGGAUGAAAGGUGGGAAUCUUCGGACCUGCCACGUGAGGAUGAGCCCGCGUACCAUUAGCUUGUUGGUGGGGUAAUGGCCUACCAAGGCAACGAUGGUUAGCUGGUCUGAGAGGAUGAUCAGCCACACUGGCACUGAAACACGGGCCAGACUCCUACGGGAGGCAGCAGUGAGGAAUUUUGCGCAAUGGGGGGAAACCCUGACGCAGCAACGCCGCGUGAGUGAUGAAGGCCUUCGGGUCGUAAAGCUCUGUCAGGUGGGAAGAACCGUCUGAGGUUCAAUAGACUUCAGGCCUGACGGUACCACCAGAGGAAGCACCGGCCAACUCCGUG
rnacentral:rRNA from 1 species